rnacentral:tRNA from 1 species
GCGGGAGUGGCGGAAUUGGCAGACGCGCUACUUUGAGGUGGUAGUGAGGCAACUUGUGUGGGUUCGAGUCCCACCUCUCGCA